rnacentral:rRNA from 1 species
CAGCCGCCGCGGUAAUACGUAGGGUGCAAGCGUUAAUCGGAAUUACUGGGCGUAAAGCGUGCGCAGGCGGUUAUAUAAGACAGAUGUGAAAUCCCCGGGCUCAACCUGGGAACUGCAUUUGUGACUGUAUAGCUAGAGUACGGCAGAGGGGGAUGGAAUUCCGCGUGUAGCAGAGAAAUGCGUAGAUAUGCGGAGGAACACCGAUGGCGAAGGCAAUCCCCUGGGCCUGUACUGACGCUCAUGCACGAAAGCGUGGGGAGCAAACAGGAUUAGAUACCCGGGUAGUCCCUGUCUCUUAUAC